rnacentral:tRNA from 1 species
ACCUGGCUGGCUCAGUUGGAAGAGCAUGUGACUCCCAAUCUGGGAUUAUGAGUUCAAGCCCCAUGUUGGGUG